ACGGAACCUUCGGGUUCAGUGGCGGAAGGGUUAGUAAUACAUGGGUAACCUGCCUUUGACUCUGGGAUAACGGUUGGAAACGACCGCUAAUACCGGAUACGGUGAGAAAAAGACAUCUUUUUCUUAUUAAAGUGGGGGGUCGUAAGACCUCGCGGUUAAAGAGAGGCCCAUGGGAUAUCAGCUAGUUGGUAGGGUAAAGGCCUACCAGGG
rnacentral:rRNA from 1 species